AUGGCCGCCGGCAUCCUGGUGGACUUCCCCUCCAUGGGGUCCGCCAGCUUCUUCCCCAGCCUCGAGUCCCUCCUCCGCGACUCCACGUCCCGCUUCCUCGCCGCCGUCUCCGCCGCCCCCGACCCGGACCUCACCAACUUCCGCUCCCUCUUCUCCCGUGUCCUCACCACCUACCCGGACCCUCCCCUCGAGGCCGUCUGGUUCUUCUCCGCGCUCACCUUCCACGACGCCCCCGACGACCUCCGCUCCAUUCUCCACCUCCUCUCCGCCUUCACUGCCUCCUCCCCUGCCGCCGCCAAGCCCCUUGCGCUCCUCGCCCCCGUCGUCUCCGAACUCUUCCACUCCGCCAAGCCCCGCAGGGAGAUUGAGGCGCUCGUCGAGGCUGUCCUCAGCUACAUCAGUAUCUGCAGCAGCCGCCCCGCUGGCGGCGAGGUCAACGCCGACGCUGGGAGGCUCUUGCCAGGUUUCGGGGAGCUGGUCAAGGUGUGGAGCGUGCGCAACUCGAGGGACAGGUGCCCGUUCCAGGUCCUUUUCCCGCUAGUCGGGGAAGAGGCCAGGCGGGAGCUCAUGAAGGACGGCUGCACUGUCACUUUCCUCGCCGGUGUGGUGGUGGCGGAGGCCUUCCUGCUCAGGCUCUGCCUCAAGGUGCAGGGUGUGGCUGGGGUGCCACGUUCUGAGCUGCAGAAGGAGCUAAGGAUCUGGGCGGUUAGCUCUAUCUCGGUCUUCCAGAACCAGCAAUUCUUCGGAGUCCUGCUGAACAUGCUUGUAAACCCUCCGCUGCCUGUUUAUUCACUACUGAGUGCUGAUGAUGAGAUCUUGGUGAGAGAUGUCCUUUAUGAUGCUUUGAUCUUGGUGGAUUAUUCAUUCCUCAAUGGAGCUGAAGUUGAUCAAGCUGAUAGUUCCCUUUUGCCUAUUUUUGUGUCAAGAUUGGUUAUAACUCUUGAUGCCAUCAAUGAUGCCAGGGCCAAAGGAGAUCAAGGGAGAGCAAUGUCGUUUAUCAACGCCUUCUCAACUUCAAAUAUUCCCGUUUACCUGGCUAGGUGGGCUGCUCGUCAAGCUGGCACCAGAAUGGCUGGCACUGACCAACUCGGCAAACCAGUUGCUAUCACACCUCAAGCUUUUCUGAAGUGGCUUGUAGAUCUUGAAGACAAGGGGCUCACAGUGUUUGGAGAGAACUGUUCAAGGAUCAGGGAGAGGCUGAUGCAUGAUGAUGCCAAGAAUGACUAUCACUAUCAGAGCAGGAUGGGUCACUCAGACGCUGGCCUUUUCUUCAUUGACAAGCAGAGUCACCAGGAGGGUAUGCACACAGAAGGUGGGGAGGAUGAAGAAGCCGUGGAGAUGGAGACAGCUGAUAAUGCUUUCAUGGCUGCCGCUCAGUCCAUGAAGGUGACGGCGAACGGCAUAAGGAAAAGGAAGGAUUGUGGAAAUGAAGACGCAGCAGUUGUGAAGUUUGUGAAGUACAAGGCUGAAGAUAGCUCGGUUAAGGAUUACUUCUCGUCUGCUGCUACCAAUGGCAUGAGCAGUGGUAGCGAGGUGGAGAAUCCACAGUCUGAUGAUGAGAUGGAAGAAACAGCUUGA
rnacentral:rRNA from 1 species